rnacentral:rRNA from 1 species
UACGUAGGGUGCAAGCGUUGUCCGGAAUUAUUGGGCGUAAGAGCUCGUAGGCGGCCUGUCGCGUCGGCUGUGAAAACUCAGGGCUCAACCCUGAGCCUGCAGUCGAUACGGGCAGGCUAGAGUCCGGCAGGGGAGACUGGAAUUCCUGGUGUAGCGGUGAAAUGCGCAGAUAUCAGGAGGAACACCGGUGGCGAAGGCGGGUCUCUGGGCCGAUACUGACGCUGAGGCACGAAAGCGUGGGGGAGCAAACAGG